GAUGAACGCUGGCGGCGUGCCUAAUACAUGCAAGUCGAGCGAACAGAUGAGGAGCUUGCUCCUCUGACGUUAGCGGCGGACGGGUGAGUAACACGUGGAUAACCUACCUAUAAGACUGGGAUAACUUCGGGAAACCGGAGCUAAUACCGGAUAAUAUAUUGAACCGCAUGGUUCAAUAGUGAAAGACGGUUUGCCUGUCACUUAUAGAUGGAUCCGCGCCGCAUUAGCUAGUUGGUAAGGUAACGGCUUACCAAGGCAACGAUGCGUAGCCGACCUGAGAGGGUGAUCAGCCACACUGGAACUGAGACACGGUCCAGACUCCUACGGGAGGCAGCAGUAGGGAAUCUUCCACAAUGGGCGAAAGCCUGACCGAGCAACGCCGCGUGAGUGAUGAAGGUCUUCGGGUCGUAAAACUCUGUUAUUAGGGAAGAACAAAUGUGUAAGUAACUAUGCACGUCUUGACGGUACCUAAUCAGAAAGCCCCGGCUAACUACGUG
rnacentral:rRNA from 1 species